rnacentral:lncRNA from 1 species
CCUAUCCUAGAAGAAAUUGUGUAAGGUUGUCCCCACUAAGGCUGUAUGGAAGAUUCCGUCCUGUGGAUGUGACUAAUGGCAUGAAUAUGACGUCCACACGGUGGCCAGAUAGCUAGUGGUAGCCACCCAGGUACCCAGAACCUGUUUUAGUGAGUGAGAAGGGAUCUACAGAGGAAUUGAGUCUGGUCCAAUCCAGUAGCACUGAUUACAAAAAGGAAUACAAAGAUACUCAAGAAGAUAUUUGCUCUUAAAUGGGUUUUGUAAUAUUACUCAGGGAGAAUAGAGUAAAUUUAUUAAGGAAUAUUAUCUCUGAUUGCAGUUACUCAUUCAGCCUUUAAUAUAACACUUUAUUCAGGUGAUACUUUUAGCUCAUUACCCAUAACUAUAAUAACUUUAUUAAUGUUACUAUUAAAUGAAGAUAGUUUAUAGAUGAGUGAAAUAUAAAGGAAAUAACUUACAAAGAUCAUUUUCUUAAAGCAGUACAAAGAAAUCAUUUCCCAGUGUAGUUAGAGGCAAUACAGGGGAUGUGUUUUAUACACUAAAUUAUGAGAUCUUACGAGAUUCUUAAUAUUUACCAAUUUUGACACAAGAGAUAUUUCAGACACAUUAUCUUAAAAAGUAUUAACAUAUUUUGCAUUCUAAAGAAAAAAAGGCUAUCAGCAGUAAAAAGCAUUGAAUCACAGGACUCAUUUCAAUUCCAGAGGCACAACGGACAUCAGAUUAAAUGUUUGCUUUUUUCAUAUGAUCCUAAAUUAUCACAGUUGUUUUUCUUUGAUCAUUUUCAAGCAAGAGUAGCUUUAAGAGAAAAGAAGAAAAGAGAAUAAUACAGCUGUGUUAUAGAGAAGGCAAAUUUCUGAUAACUUUCCUAAGAAUUUCUUUUCCUAACUUCCAUUAUUGUUACCUAACAGCCUCCAAAUUAAGCCACGGAAUUUUCCUCUAGCUCCAUUCUUCUUUUUCGUAAUGGAGAGUCUCUGGCCUCAUCUUUAAUAGCACAUCAACCAAUCCACACUCACCUCGAGGAU